rnacentral:rRNA from 1 species
UGCAGUCGUACGAGAGUUUUUAACUCAAGUGGCGGACGGGUGAGUAACACGUAAGAAUUUGCCUCUAGGAGGGGGACAACAAUUAGAAAUGAUUGCUAAUACCCCAUAUGCUUUCGAGUGAAAUGGAUUUUUCCGCCUAGAGAGAAGCUUGCGGCUGAUUAGCUUGUUGGUGAGGUAAUGGCUCACCAAGGCGACGAUCAGUAUCUGGUUUGAGAGGACGAUCAGACACACUGGAACUGAGACACGGUCCAGACUCCUACGGGAGGCAGCAGUGGGGAAUUUUCCGCAAUGGGCGAAAGCCUGACGGAGCAAUACCGCGUGAGGGAUGACGGCCUAUGGGUUGUAAACCUCUUUUUUCAGGGAGGAAUAAAUGACGUGUACCUGAAGAAUAAGCAUCGGCUAACUCCGUGCCAGCAGCCGCGGUAAGACGGAGGAUGCAAGUGUUAUCCGGAAUCACUGGGCGUAAAGCGUCUGUAGGUGGUCCAAUAAGUCAACUGUUAAAUCUUGAGGCUCAACCUCAAAAUCGCAGUCGAAACUAUUAGACUAGAGUAUAGUAGGGGUAAAGGGAAUUUCCAGUGGAGCGGUGAAGUGCGUAGAGAUUGGAAAGAACACCGAUGGCGAAGCACUUUACUGGGCUAUUACUAACACUCAGAGACGAAAGCUAGGGUAGCAAAUGGGAUUAGAUACCCCAGUAGUCCUAGCCGUAAACAAUGGAUACUAGAUGUUGACCAGAUCGACCUG